rnacentral:rRNA from 1 species
GAGCGGUAGCACAGAGAGCUUGCUCUCGGGUGACGAGCGGCGGACGGGUGAGUAAUGUCUGGGAAACUGCCUGAUGGAGGGGGAUAACUACUGGAAACGGUAGCUAAUACCGCAUAACGUCGCAAGACCAAAGAGGGGGACCUUCGGGCCUCUUGCCAUCAGAUGUGCCCAGAUGGGAUUAGCUAGUAGGUGGGGUAAUGGCUCACCUAGGCGACGAUCCCUAGCUGGUCUGAGAGGAUGACCAGCCACACUGGAACUGAGACACGGUCCAGACUCCUACGGGAGGCAGCAGUGGGGAAUAUUGCACAAUGGGCGCAAGCCUGAUGCAGCCAUGCCGCGUGUAUGAAGAAGGCCUUCGGGUUGUAAAGUACUUUCAGCGAGGAGGAAGGCACUGAGGUUAAUAACCUCAGUGAUUGACGUUACUCGCAGAAGAAGCACCGGCUAACUCCGUG